rnacentral:rRNA from 1 species
AUUAGAUACCCUGGUAGUCCACGCCCUAAACGAUGUCAACUAGUUGUUGGGUCUUCAUUGACUCAGUAACGUAGCUAACGCGUGAAGUUGACCGCCUGGGGAGUCCGGUCGCAAGAUUAAAACUCAAAGGAAUUUACGGGGACCCGCACAACCCGUGGAUGAUGCGGAUUAAUUCGAUGCAACGCGAACCCCUUACCUACCCUGACAUGGUCGGAACCCUGUGAAAGGUGGGGGUCUCGAAAGAGAACCGUACACAGGUGUUGCAGGCAGUGUAGCUCGUGUCGUGAGAUGUUGGGUUAAGUCCCGCAACGAGCGCAACCCUUGCCUUAGUUGCUACGCAUGAGCACUCUAAGGAGACUGCCGGUGACAAACCGGAGGAAGGUGGGGAUGACGUCAUGUCCUCAUGGCCGUUAUGGGUAGGGCUUCACACGUCAUACAAUGGUCGGAACAGAGGGCUGCCAACCCGUGAGGGGGAGCUAAUCCCAGAAAACCGAUCGUAGUCCGGAUUGUAGUCUGCAUCUCGACUAUGUGAAGCUGGAAUCGCUAGUAAUCGCGGAUCAGCAUGCCGCGGUGAUAUACGUUCCCCGGUCUUGUACACACCGCCCGUCACACCCAUGGGAGUGGGUUUUACCAGAAGUGGCUAGUCUAAC